UGUCACACUUGUAGGUGGACCUGGUGUGUCAUGGGAAGACAGAGGUGUUUCCUGACAGGGACACUGCAGACCCUUAUGCUGAGCCUAAGAAGAGAGGUAUCUUCCGUACAGUAAACAGUGGUAACGGUUUGACCACCGAUGACAUCGUACAGAGAAUCAUCAAGAACCGGCUGCUGUUUGAGGCAAGGAACCAGAAGAAGGAGGCCAAGGAGAUUGCGGUGUUUGAGGCGAUGAAAAGCCAGGGAGAGCAGGCCGGGGACACGGCCCAGGCAGCACAGUAACCAGAUCAAACUAGUUCAAACUAGACCCAGCUGUCCCAAAACUGAUCCUAACCCAGAGUUUCUCAAACUAGAGAAACUCUGAAAUAACUAUUUGUUUUAAAUUGCGUUUGGUUCAUAGAACUGGGGUUAAGUCAGUAACCUCCGGUAGCUGCUAGAUGCCGUUGUCAUAGUGAGAGCGGUUUUGGUUUUCUUUCCUCCUAUCUUUUGAAUGGUUUAAUCACCGGUUUCCCUCCUCAAAGCCCAGAAGCCUCAGAACAGAGUGGACAAGACCAGGCACUAAAAUCAGACUGGAGGAAAAACAACAAUCACUGGUGUUCAUUUCUACUCAGCAGAUCAAACUAAAUGAUUGGCUGAUGAUCUUCUGAACUUCCCAAUACCUUUCUGAUGCAUUUGUCACUUCAAACAAUCCUUCAUAUUGAAACACUGUCAAAUGAACUGUCAAUUGAUUUGUAAUAGUCGGUUAUAGUCCCAGUUUAAGAACCAAACAUCGGCUGUUGAUUUCAUCACCUUUUUUUUAAGGACAAAAUGGGGUCACGGAACAAAAAAGUUUGGGAACCCCUGUCCUAACCAGCUCUAAAUGGUUCAAACACGACCCGGGUCAGACUGAACCCAGCCAGCCCAAACCAGUCUAGUCCUACUAUUUGUACUGUAUACACAUCCUUUAGUGAAGCAUUGCCUGCUAGCCCGUCCUAGACCGGCUUUACCCCCCCAGUCCACAACGGGACAAACUCAUUCCACCGACGGCCGAGUGUCUGCUGGUUUUCACUCCCUUGUACUUGAUUGAUGAAUUAAGGUCAGUAAUUAGUAAGGAACUCCCCUCACCUGGUUGUCCAGGUCUUAACUGAAAGGAAAAACCAGAGGACACUAGGCCCUCCAUGAAAUGAGUUUCCACCUGACCCAAACCGGAUCAGACCAGAUCAAACUGCAGAAACAGACUUUAACCAAGACACCUCCUCUCCUUCACCAGCUAAGGAGAACACAAAAAUAACCCUCUUCCCUCUGUCAGAGGAGGCUGCUGAGGGGAGGAUGGCCCAUAAUAAUGUCUGGAGUGGAAUAUCUGGAAUGGACUGUGUUAAAUCUUCUCCCACUUUCAGGCAGAAAGAAAGGAGAGGAAAGGAAGAGAAUCCCAAGUGUGACUGAUGAAAAAGAGAACAUUGAGAGACUUGUGAAGAAGAGAGGAAAGUCUAUGUAGUUGUGUGUGUACUGUAUAUUUAGUAGUGCCUUCUAGUCUGAUCUACCAAAUGGCACACUAUUCCCUAUGGACCCUGGUCAAACGGCAGCUGACCCCAGCCCUGCGCUUACAGCCGCUGACCCAAGCCCUGCCGUUACAGCCGCUGACCCCAGCCCUGCCGUUACAGCCGCUGACCCCAGCCCUGCGCUUACAGCCGCUGACCCCAGCCCUGCGCUUACAGCCGCUGACCCCAGCCCUGCCGUUACAGCCGCUGACCCCAGCCCUGCCGUUACAGCCGCUGACCCCAGCCCUGCGCUUACAGCCGCUGACCCCAGCCCUGCGCUUACAGCCGCUGACCCCAGCCCUGCGCUUACAGCCGCUGACCCCAGAACACAUACAUGCCAGAGUUGGCGUAGCUGCUCAGCCUGAAGUGUCCCCACUUGCACUGUCGAAUAACUGGCUGUUCUGUGGCGUGACCGGUACGACUCUUCAGGUGGCCUGUCACGUGUGUUCGAGGUCUUGGGUUCGCGCCUCGCUAGGAGCUGACUCAUGAGGAAGGUGGUGCUCUUUAAGCAAGCAGCAUGACCUCCUUCACAUCACUAUGGGUUGGAGUCCUGUCCACUAUCUCUUCAAUACAUUUAACCAGUGUACGAUAUAGGGAGCCAUUUCAGAUGCAGGACUCUGUCUUGUAUGUAACAUGAUGAUUCAGGACUCUGUCUUGUAUGUAACAUGAUGAUUCAGGACUCUGUCUUGUAUGUAACAUGAUGGUUCAGGACUCUGUCUUGUAUGUAACAUGAUGAUUCAGGACUCUGUCUUGUAUGUAACAUGAUGAUUCAGGACUCUGUCUUGUAUGUAACAUGAUGAUUCAGGACUCUGUCUUGUAUGUAACAUGAUGAUUCAGGACUCUGUCUUGUAUGUAACAUGAUGAUUCAGGACUCUGUCUUGUAUGUAACAUGAUGAUUCAGGACUCUGUCUUGUAUGUAACAUGAUGAUUCAGGACUCUGUCUUGUAUGUAACAUGAUGAUUCAGGACUCUGUCUUGUAUGUAACAUGAUGAUUCAGGACUCUGUCUUGUAUGUAACAUGAUGAUUCAGGACUCUGUCUUGUAUGUAACAUGAUGAUUCAGCCCUCUGUCUUGUAUGUAACAUGAUGAUUCAGCCCUCUGUCUUGUAUGUAACAUGAUGAUUCAGGCCUCUGUCUUGUAUGUAACAUGAUGAUUCAGGACUCUGUCUUGUAUGUAACAUGAUGAUUCAGGACUCUGUCUUGUAUGUAACAUGAUGAUUCAGGACUCUGUCUUGUAUGUAACAUGAUGAUUCAGGACUCUGUCUUGUAUGUAACAUGAUGA